AGUGAACGCUGGCGGUAGGCCUAACACAUGCAAGUCGAACGGCAGCACAGUAAGAGCUUGCUCUUACGGGUGGCGAGUGGCGGACGGGUGAGGAAUACAUCGGAAUCUACUUUUUCGUGGGGGAUAACGUAGGGAAACUUACGCUAAUACCGCAUACGACCUACGGGUGAAAGCAGGGGAUCUUCGGACCUUGCGCGAUUGAAUGAGCCGAUGUCGGAUUAGCUAGUUGGCGGGGUAAAGGCCCACCAAGGCGACGAUCCGUAGCUGGUCUGAGAGGAUGAUCAGCCACACUGGAACUGAGACACGGUCCAGACUCCUACGGGAGGCAGCAGUGGGGAAUAUUGGACAAUGGGCGCAAGCCUGAUCCAGCCAUACCGCGUGGGUGAGGAAGGCCUUCGGGUUGUAAAGCCCUUUUGUUGGGAAAGAAAAGCAGCAGGUUAAUACCCCGCUGUUCUGACGGUACCCAAAGAAUAAGCACCGACUAACUUCGUG
rnacentral:rRNA from 1 species